GAGUUAUCUGAACCUUCGGGGAACGAUAACGGCGUCGAGCGGCGGACGGGUGAGUAAUGCCUGGGAAAUUGCCCUGAUGUGGGGGAUAACCAUUGGAAACGAUGGCUAAUACCGCAUAAUAGCUUCGGCUCAAAGAGGGGGACCUUCGGGCCUCUCGCGUCAGGAUAUGCCCAGGUGGGAUUAGCUAGUUGGUGAGGUAAGGGCUCACCAAGGCGACGAUCCCUAGCUGGUCUGAGAGGAUGAUCAGCCACACUGGAACUGAGACACGGUCCAGACUCCUACGGGAGGCAGCAGUGGGGAAUAUUGCACAAUGGGCGCAAGCCUGAUGCAGCCAUGCCGCGUGUAUGAAGAAGGCCUUCGGGUUGUAAAGUACUUUCAGCAGUGAGGAAGGUGGUGUGCUUAAUACGUGCAUCAUUUGACGUUAGCUGCAGAAGAAGCACCGGCUAACUCCGUGCCAGCAGCCGCGGUAAUACGGAGGGUGCGAGCGUUAAUCGGAAUUACUGGGCGUAAAGCGCAUGCAGGUGGUUUGUUAAGUCAGAUGUGAAAGCCCGGGGCUCAACCUCGGAAUUGCAUUUGAAACUGGCAGACUAGAGUACUGUAGAGGGGGGGUAGAAUUUCAGGUGUAGCGGUGAAAUGCGUAGAGAUCUGAAG
rnacentral:rRNA from 1 species